GCUAUUUUGGCAGAUUAGUGCAAUAAAUUUAGAAUUUAUUUAUGUGAUUUAUAUUACAAAUAGUA
rnacentral:tRNA from 1 species